AGUGCUGCAGCCAUGUAGGUACCACAUAUAAAGGUUUGCUCUGUCUGCAGCAAGCCUCUGCACACUGAAAGGAGGAAACUGGAGUUAAAGACAACAAAAUGACCAGUGGCUGGACAUCUCCUUGAGCGCAUUUUGUAACAAUCAGGUGCAAAGAAGUUCUAUCAUCUGGACAGAUCACACCAGCAGACAUUGUCAUGAAACAGACGGAGAUAGACUGAAGCACUAUCUUCAGAUCAGGAAAGUAUGCAAUCAAGCAUUGCUUUGCAAGCUUCUAAACAUUGCAAACAUGAUCUUUUUCUAAAAACUUGACCUAAAGAUUUAUGUGAAAAAAGGUCAGCCCUACUAAAAGAUAUCUCAACACUCCACUAGGGGGCAGCACAUUCGUUUGCAGUUCUGCUUCACAGCAAGAAGGUUUAAACCUGAAGGUGGGUGGAGCCUUUCUGUUCAAGGUUUGUAAACUCUUCCUUGUUUUUUUCUCCUGCUUGUUUCUUUCAAACUCUACAAGUUUUGUGUUAUGUAUUUGCUUUGUUUGUCUUAAUCUUAAUCAGGUACAGUUUUUAUAUCAUUUUAUGUUCUCUAUAAUGCAGCUUAGAAAUGCUGAAACAUUAUGAAACAUUCUGCCUUGGUAAAUAUAUGUAACCUUGUCCAGCAUACUCCUAAUUUCCUGCAGCAAGUCCCCAAGCUUACAUCUGUAAGGUGUUACAUUACGCACAUAAGAUCCUGACAUUCAUUGCCCUGAUUGGAUGGAUUCUGUUAAGUUGCCUCUGACAGAAUUAGGUCCCCAUCGGAAAUUGACUGGGGUAAGACCGGUUCAGAUAGAGGUAAAGCAAGAACUGUGGCAUUAAUUCCUUUAGCUGUGCUGAUGCAAGCUCCUACUGGAUCCUGGACUGUGUAAAUCCAGCAGCCUCUGUUCUUAUUUGAACACUUUCAUUUAUCCACUUUUAAACACGUAGUCACAGUGUGGAUAAUAAACAGAUAUUCUGAGGAAGGUUAUCAUUACUGUUUUUCAUAAGUCAAAGUAUCUGAAGUACUAAUCUAAUAAAUGCAGUAGGAAAUUAUAUUUUUUUGUGUGUUUUGGCAACAUGAGCCACCACAGUAAGAUCUUUUGUGUUACAUAGGUUCCUUCAGUCCAGAAAAGCAGAUGAUGAUAACCAUGAAUCUUUGAACUCGGAUAAAACAGCAAGAACAAUUUUUGAAAUAAUAUUCAAAGGGAAAACUCCAGAACAGGGAUUGCUGGUCUCUUCCAGCACCUCACUCCCUCUCAAAAAAUCAAAUCCACAACUGUGACAUUCCAUUCAUACGUUUCACUGAUGUUGUGGGUAUUACCUGCUUUAGCUAUGUGUAGCACCACAUAUCAUGCUUCAUUUGCCUUGUCAUUUGCAGUACUAACACUACUGUCUGCUGUGACCUCAGUUAAUUUAGCCCUUUGUUUACAAAGAAAAAACCUCUUGGAGUUUUGCAAACCCUGUGGAAGUGGAGUAUCUUCAGAACCAACCCAAGAAAAUGCCAACUUUAAAUAAUUAUGGUCAUACUUGCUCCAAAUUUUUAGUUACUUUGCUUGGCCCGGUCUCCUUACUCACUGUAACUUUAGUUACUAAGAACCAAUCAAUUUGGAAAGUUUGAUAAAUUAUCAAAAUUACAUUUUCUGGUUUAUCUUUUUCAUUAUGUUGUGCACCCCAUGAAGCUCUCUGGUGACCCCCAGAGGGGGGCACGCCCCACACUUUGUAAAGCCCUGCUCUACAAUUUAUGAUUCUGCCCAAUUAAUUUUUUCCCUCAAAUACUCCUGUUGUGGCAGACCUAUAAUUUUCACUCUAUAAAGUUGUAAAAUAUUUUCUCUUGUGACUGUGGUGAAACCUAACCAUGGUGCUGUAUGGAGUACCUGCUGUUGAAGGAAAUAUCCAAUUAGCUACCAGCUGCUGAACUAAGUUGGCUGCUGGAAGUUUAGUGGAACAUAGAACUGAAAGGGAAAGCAUUUCUCAGGUGAGCUCACUUCAUUUCAGUACUAAUAUUUUGUCCUUGUUAAUUUGUGUGAUUAAUUAUAUGAAGUUAUAGAUUAAAGAUGAUGUCUUCUGCAAUGCAUGCGCUUAUUUCUCUGGCUGAACUUGCCACAAAAUUAGUAGGAAAAAGACUUAUCAUGUAUCAAUUAAUAAUUUCAUAAAUUAUUUUAACCAAACAUGGUUUCACAUGCACUGAAAGGCAUAUCAUGAACACUUUAUAAUGGUACUUUUCUAUAAUGGUUCCAGUACCUUCAAGAUAAGAUGAGGUGUAUUAUUGAGGCCCUCUGCUGAAAAAACAAACAAAAAAACAAAGCAUUGCUGUUUGAUAUAGCAAAAUAACAGUUAACAAGCUUUCUUUAGCAUUUAGUAAAUGCGUCCGCAGUACAGCUAGCUGAUAGAGGAAGUUAGAAAGCUAUAAGUGCCCAUGAGUCAAAUGAAGACUCAGAGAAUAACACUCAGAAUCAUUUAUUUAUCUCAGUAUGAGAUAAUAGGGCAGAUCAUUUUUGAAGUGUGCCUAUUUACUUUUUAACAUUAGUAUCUUGCUUUGAUUAAGCUGUUCACUACUAGUUUGAAAACUUUUCUAGGAUGAUGCAAUGGGUCAAAUGUUACCAAUGAAGUGCGAGGGACUGGCGGGGGUCAGGAGGGUGUUAUUAUACAAUGAUAUUUAUUUCUAAAUUAAGGUGUAAUAUCGAUAUAAUCAAGUCAAAAGUGCAAAGCAGUUUGGUUAUCGCAAAGACCCAAAGUUUAGCUGUAGCAGCGGAAAGGAAUUUUCUGCAAUAAAUAAAAAAAUUUUUAAUGUGUUGUUGAGUCAUUAGUACCCAACAUACACAUUGAAUGUUGUUGAGUACUAACAACACAUUGUUGUGUUGUUUAGGUAACACUAAAUUUAGUGGGUAAAUUUAGUGUUACCCACUAAAUUUGGACUUUUUUCCAACAUGUUAUGCUUGAAUCUUUUACUCUGGCAGAUCAAUUCUUGAUCAGAACUAUGUCUUGUGAGGCUUGUCAGUAUCCACGAGUAUUCUGAGGCAUUUUGCUGCCCUCAAGUGGCCGUAAAACUGUUAAUUUUAGAUUACAUUAUGAAAUGCAUAUGGUUUUAUCAACCUUGUUUAAGCAACAAACUGUGCAAAUAUUUGAAGAAAUGUUAGAAGUAUUUCAAUUACCAGGCAUUGACUGCUUCAGUUGUUGUUCCAGUGUGUUGUAAUCAAAUAAUGCUAUGGCAUGUCUUCCUUACAUACAAUUCUUAACUAACAUCAAUAUGUGUGUGUCUAUUGCAGUUUUACAAGUGUGUGCCAUCUAUAACAUCUAUUUUAUGAUAUUAUUUAGCUAGGCACAGCAGAGGUACAACUGUUCUCCUUUCUACAACUCAUCUGAAAGUGACCAAUUAUAAAGUGGUUCAGCACUGAGGUCCUACGCUGGCAACGGGACAUAACCUCAGAAACGAACAUUAAAUAUGUAAUACUUCAUUGGGUUCCAUCUGCUACAAAUUUCUAUACCCUCGACAUGUUGGCAUAUCUGGUGCUCCAACAAGUUUGCAUUUCAAUGAAAGAGGCUGAUUGCUGAUACAGCAAGGUAUGUAGUUUCCACUAAAGAGUUUAUUUGAGUUGCUGUGUCCCAAAAGUAACUUUCAGUCGAUGGUUUCUGAAUGUUCAUAAAACUACAGUCUCAACUCCCAUUGCUUGUCAAACAAAAUGCUAAGCACAAUCAAUGUGUGGACACUGUUUUUGCCCUGCUCUAUACUCAAGUAUGCUUUUUGCUAAGUACAUGGUGGUACCCAUGAACCUACAAUCUACCACGGUUCGAGAAAGGCAUGCAAAAGUGUAUUCUAUAUGCUGAAGAUGUAAGUAUGUUACUUCUUUUUCAUAGUUCUCUUAAUUUGGUUUCAAACAAAUUCAUAUGGUGUUUUUGUGUGACAGAUGAUCCCAAGAAACAACCAAUCAUAUGAGAAUGUUUCUUUAAAGUACGUAGACUUCUUCAACCUCAGAAUUAUGAGAUCACAUAACUGCCCCUUUCUACUUUUGGCACAGAUUUGUAUCUAGAUUGCAGGCAUUUAAAAGUUCAUAAAAAUUUUAUGAGGCAGUUAAAUGUAAAUGUUUUGAUAUGUUUCAACCUGUGAUUCAGGUGCAGAUUCUGACUUGCCCCCAGUCUUAGAAAAGGUUCUUUGUGUUUUGUGUUUCAAGAUAUUCAACGUAGGUUGGAGAAUACUGUUGUUAGUGAAAACUCUAAAAAUGAGUAUUCAAGGUCUAUGCUUAGUCUUUGUAAGUUACAAAAAGGGUAACAGGAUACCGGUAUCUUCGCCAAACAGCUCUAAAAGUUCCAUCAGUUCAAUACUUGAGGGAUAUCUUUUAGAUUUCAAUCAUAUAUGAAGGAUCUUUUUAAUUUAGUCUUUUAUUUUACAAGUUUUAACUUCUUCUAUUGACCCUUUCUGUUUUAGCAGCUAAUCUAUUUCAACCACAAAAUGGUUGAAUAGACCGCUUAUCUUACCAAUAACUUAAUCUAAGUGCUCUGCCGCUAAAGGAAAUCAUCUUAAAAUGAGAAUUUAUUUUAUCUAUACCAACAAUGCAUAAAAAAACACUUGGGGCACAGGUAUCUAAGAAGAUAUUUUGCGCAGUCUUUUGGAUGAAUUCCCAGGGAUGCUAUAAUGUUAGUACCUGAAGAUGUUGCGUAUCUGCUGUUGCUCUGAUUAGUGUGGGUAAUGGUCACUAGAUCCUUUGAGUCUUUCCACAGCCUAUUAGUCAUACACCGUUUGUGCUAAAGUGCUAGUUAUCAUUAGCAUCUCCACGGCUAUCAACUUUCACUCAUUCAUCCUUAGAAAAAACCAGUCUAGUGCCCUCUACUGUCCAAACAAUGAACAACUAUAAGAAAAAAAAUGCACCAUAAGGUGUAUCUUCAAGUGUAAUGGAACACCAUAAAAGAAAAAAGAAUGCAUGGAUUAAGCAUGCACAAUACAUCAGGCUAUAUUAGUUCCUGCUAUGAUGGAUUCAGUUCUCUGGAUACGCCUCUUAUUUCAACUCAGAUUUUGUAUAGAAAUUAUAUGUCUAUUUAUGGAAUAUGAUUAUAAAUAUCAGCAAAAUCUAGACCUCUUAGAUCCUCUGAUACUAGGUGUUAUUUUGACAAUCUGACAACAUUUUUGAGUUAAAAUAUUAGGAUAACAAUGACAGAGUAAAGUAAGCGUUAGUUUAAUUGGAUUAUUCUCAAUAGUAAAUCUUAGAGUGACUGUCAGUCUUCUUACUUUAGAAACGCCACCAUGUGGUAAAAAUGGAUCUUGUAGUUCAUUUCAUAAUUAAUAUUUGUUUAUCAUUUUAGUAAUCCCUAUAUUGGUACGGUACAGCCAUAUGCAAUUGUUAGCAAAUAAAAAAAUAGCAAUAAUUUUGUAUUUCACAGUAAUUUACAAACUUAUCUUGAAUCAUUUGUAUAAAACACAUAAUAAACAUUUUAGGUAACUUAUUAAAACCAAAUAAAAAAUACAUAUUAAAAAUUGAUGUAUCUGAAGUGAAUUUAAUACUUAAAAUUUUAAAAUGAUGCAAUUUAUCACAAGUUUAUUAAGUCUUGAUUUGCUAUCAUAAUCUAAUGUUGCAAUAUAAGUAUUUUUUUAUUAUUACUGGUACAUUACUGUGCUAGCUUUGUUCCUCGUCCCUAUUUUUUAUUUGAACAAACACACUCAAAAUAAUUGUUGGACUCAGAUGAAAACUUUUAGGUUUGAAAAUAAGUUAAGGGAUAAAGCUUUGCCUAGGUUCCCGUUGCAGGAUAUUGUUCUGGAACAAGGUACUCCUGACGUAACUCAGAGAGAUAAAGCAAGUAACUGGGACUGUCGUAAUGGGAUCAUCCUGUGGAUUUAAGAGUUAUUUGAAGGGCUGUGUAUGUUAAAACUAGAACACAGUAAACCGCGCAGUUCCAGAUUCUUCAAAAUGACAUUGAAAGUGUCUCUUGAAGGUCUACUGCAUUCCCCUAGUUUACCUUUCAGAGCUGAUGAAAUGCAACCAUGCACAGUAGAAGAUAAUCUAUGACUUUUCUAUUGUAUUCUGGGACCUCUGUGAUCACUGGUAGAGUUAAAGAAACUUACAGAACUUCUCUUUACUUAUCAUGAAAAUUGGCAUCUAUACAGGAAAUAUUUCAAAUUAAGUAUGGAAUAUUAUUAAAAUGUAAUUCUCUUGAUAACCCAAGUGGCUUUAUGCAGUGAAAAAAUACAUUUUCUAUCAAGUGUUUAAUUUAACAAGACUUAACAUAAAAUCUAAUUGUUAAUCCCAGUGAAAGUCACUUUCUAACUAUUUGUAUGAAUUGCUGUUAUUUAAUUGGAUCUUAGAAUGUGUAUCAUACAUUUAGUAACUUCAUGACUUGUUACAUGGAAGGAUUAUGUAGCUGUUGUUGUACGCAGUAAUCUUCUCACUAAGCCUUGCAUCGUUAUUUACUGUUUACCUGAGGAAUCAGUGGAGAGAGUGGGAACAGUUUGGUUUCACGUCUCGUCCUGCCAUGACACCUUGAGCAGCGACUCUGGCUGACACCUUUGACCUUCGGUAAAGGAUUUAUGGGAUUGUGAGUGGAGUGAAGGAUUUAGUGGCACAUGGCAAAACAGUGGGUCUGUGGGUCAGUGUGUCAGUAUAUCAGUGAGUCAGUAGGCUUUUCAUUUUCCCAAACUAGGUCAGCUAUUUACUUUCAUUAAAUGAGGCUAAUGCUGGAACUUCCUGGUGUCACACUGCUCACCUAUUCACAUGUCAACAUCUAACUCUUCUCAUGCUCAUGUUCUAACACCAUCACACGUGCACUCACACCUUCAGCCUUCACCCAUAGUCCUCACCAAAGAAAAACAAAGAGCAUUUAUUCUCUGAGUUGUUAGAUAGAAAGGCAAAGUGUGUUUUUGUAUGUUGCCAGUCACAUUUGAAACAGAUGCAAAAUCAUGCUUCAACAUCUGUUUCAACAAAUCCAGCCAUGCUGAGCCGCAGAAGAAACAUGAUGUGACAGAUUACGUUCAGGAAUCAAAUUACAAAAAGUGUACCACUAAGCUGUAACUGAGGAGACAAAACUUAAUUGAACCAUUUUUAAAUUUUCCACAUUUUUCUCACAAUUUCUGUUUGUAUUUAAGUCAGUGUGAACCUAUCCAGUUAAGAUUACCAAAGUUACAUAUAUUUACAUAUUUUGCAUAAAUUUUCUUAAUAUGUUUCAGAAUGAUAUGUUAAGCUUUAUGACAUCGGUAACUUUACACAAUGUUCUCCCCAUUAGUUGGCCUGUAGUGUAACUGACUCAGGUUUGUUGGCCACCCUGCUUGCACACACCUUUUCAGCUAUGCUCAUUCCUGCUUUGAACCAUUGCAUUACCAAUUUUGUUGUCAUUAAGCCAAAUUGCAACCAACGUGCUUUGGAUCUUUGCAUGCAAGCUUUUACUUUCUGGUAAAUGUUCCUAAAUGGUCUUUCAAUAAUGCUGCUUCCUCAUGAUGCCUGCAACUUUGUGAAUUGCACCAGUCCUUCCUGUAGCGUAACACCCCCACAACAUGAUGCUGCAUGCCAUCAUUCUACUUCAUGGUUGAGAUGAUGUUCUUAGGCUUUGAAGCUUCCUUCUGUUUUUUUCAAAAUGCUGCUAAACAUAGUGUUUAUGUCCCUCUGUGAAGUUUAAUUUCAUGUCACUUUUGGAAUAAUGACUUCUUCCUCUGUGUGGGAUUUCAGCUUUAUCAAAUAACCUUUGACAAUUUUGGCCCCACCAGCCAUUAGCAAACACCUGUUGGAACUUUGCAUCGGCUGAGCUUAUACCAUGAAAUAUUUUGCAGUCCAGUGCACUGACAGACGUUUGUAAAUGCUUACUAGAGGAAUGUUGAUGUGAUGACAUGCUGAAGGUGGUAUGUAAUUGAAAAGGAACUUCUAAAAAGUCAGUCUCAAUUUCAAGGUGUUAAAUUGUGAAGUCAAAUUUCUUUUAAGUCAUGUUUGAUAUAUAUACAGCAUUUUUCUAACAACUGAAAGUGACAGUUACUUGAUUGUGCUAUAAAAUGACACUAUGUGGCUGGAAAACACAUAACACUGCUCCUUUAAAUAUUUUUGUUCACUUGUUCUUAUUGUUGUUUAUCUUUUUCACUUCAUUGAAUUGUACAGCACUUUCGUCAAUUUCAGAAUUUUAUGUGCUUUAUAAACAAAUUAACAUUUACAUUUCAGCCGCUGUUAAUAGAGGAUUUCCUUCACUGUGGAUGAUUUAUUUGGCAUCUCCUCAAUAUCUUUUUACUUUUUGUUCUGGGUUUAUACACAUACAGGCAAAACAGGUUUCUAAAAUCAUUUCCACAAAACCCAGAAGUUACUUUCUGUCUGGAAAUGACACAAGUAUCACCCAAAAGGCCAUAAGACAAGGCACAAUGGCUUUUUAAAAAACAAAACAAUGUGAAAUGGUUUGUAUGUGUUAACAAGUAGUGUCAUAUUAAAGAUAGUUCAGGCCCUUCUCUUUAAUCGUUGGAGACAUCUUUUUUCUUCACUAGUUCACUUUUUCUUCUCACAACUAUUGACAAGCUUGUUGCAUGUCUGCACAGGUAUUUCCAUAUUUCUUUUUAAAUAUCAUCGCUGUCUUUUAGAAACCAUGUGCUCAUGGAAAUUACAUUAAAGUUAUAAGAAACAUAAACCAGAGAACCUGCAAUGUAACUGACAAAAGGUUGUUCACUCAAGAAGCUGAAGAAAGACUGUGCCACACUGCAGAUUUUUAGUUGUAAAACAUAUGAACCUUAAUUAAAAUAAACGUACAUGGUUAGUUGUUAUAUGGCAAAAAAUAUUUUAAAAAUUCCCUUCGGGGCACUGAAUGUGGGGCAGUGUUACUGAACUUUUGUUCCUCAGACAGCAGAAUUGGUUGCCCAAUAAUUAGAAGGUCAGUAGUUUGAUCAAUUGCUCAAUCUGUCCACAUGUUCAAGUAUUCUUGUUUAAGAUAUUGAAACUGGAAAAUUACUUUGUUUUAAUGUGAUUGUUAUCCCUGUAACAAUAGAAAAAAUAUCCUUCAUUUCAAAAUGUUAUGUCUUGGUUAUUUCUUAUGGCACUUCAAACCAAACUGUACAAAGCAGUAGGUUGGGCUACUCCAAACUAUUUUCUGAAGGAAGAGGUGUGGUUGUUUGCCAUUCUUAGAAAAUCACCUGUAAUGAUUCAUAAUUUGCUAUUGGCAGCAAAACAAAAUUCUCCGAUAUAUCUCACUCUAAAGGUUUUUCCUACGACUGCUCAAACAAGUAAACAAGCAAUGUGCAGAGUGAUUUUAAAGCGAAAGUUCAGUUUUCUGGCUCUUCUAGGGUCAUUUCGGAAUUAUUCUUUAACUAAUAGCUUAUUGAAAUUUGAUUUUGCACCUGAUUGAUAAAUACUGAGAUUGUCAUGUUCAAAACCUUCAUGAAAGGACACAUUUUUGAGAAUACAUCUCAUUAACUAUUCUUUUCUAUGUUUCUUGGUAAUUUACAGGUUCCCUGUGAAGUGACUCCCUUUGGUUCAACCACAAGGUGCUGUCACAUCAGACGUGAUCAGGAGUUAUUCAUCAAUCACAUCUAGCAGGACUCAACUAUCAUGUCAGGGACGUCUGUUUUGACGAUGCUGUGCUGAGAGUUGAAGUAGACCAUGGACAGAGGCCGGCGCUCAGUGGGGAUGCAGCAUGAAGCUGU